rnacentral:rRNA from 1 species
UACAGAGGGGGCAAGCGUUGUUCGGAAUUAUUGGGCGUAAAGGGCGCGUAGGUGGCUUUGUAAGUCGGAUGUGAAAUCCCUGGGCUCAACCCAGGAACUGCGUCCAAGACUGGGAGGCUUGAAUCCGGGAGAGGGAUGCGGAAUUCCAGGUGUAGCGGUGAAAUGCGUAGAUAUCUGGAGGAACACCGGUGGCGAAGGCGACAUCCUGGACCGGUAUUGACGCUGAGGCGCGAAAGCCAGGGGAGCAAACGGG